rnacentral:rRNA from 1 species
UCUUUUGAUUAUGGAGAAAUAAAAAUAAGAAAAAUAUUUAUACAUGUUAGUGGAAGCAAAUAAAUGAGUAUAAUAAGAUAAUAUCUUAAAUUGUAUCAGGUUUUAAAAUUUAAUUUUUUUAAUUCCUAUGACGCACAGCUUUAGCCAUGUUUUAACUGAAACAAAGAAAAAUCUACAGCAGUAAAGAAUAUUAUACAAUUAAAUUAAUUUAGAUAUAGCUUGAUCUUAAAUUUUGUCUAAUUAAGUGCCAGCAGACGCGGUGAUACUUAAGAAGUAAAUUUUUAUUAAAAAAUAGGUUAAAAGUGUAAAGAAUAAUUUUUAUAAAAUGAUGAUUAUUGAUUUAGUAAAAUAUACAAUAAUUUUAAACUCAUUGCAAUUUUAUAAAAAAUCUAUAAACUUGAAAAAAUGAUAAUUAAACAGGAUUAGAUACCCUGGUAAUCUUUUUGUUAAUUUAAAAUCUGAACAGUAUAUCCUUAAGGAUGAAAAUCAAAUACUUUGGUUGUUUAUUUUUCUAUUUAGAGGAGUAUGUAAUUUAAUUCGAUGAUCCGCGAAAUACCUUACCUUUUUUUGAAAACACAAGUGCUGCAUGGUUGUCUUCAGUUUUAAUUUAUCAUUAAAACUUAAUCUUUUUUAAGAUAAAGUCAAAUAUUAUGGCCUUAAUAAAAAGGGAAAUUAUGUACUACAGUGAAUAUUAUAAUUUAAAUUUAUUCAUGAAUAAUAAGUGAAAUUCUUAUUUAAAAGAGAAUUUAAUAGUAAUUAAAAGUAUAAAAUUUUAAUGAAUUAGUGCAAAUAUGAAUACAAAUAGCCCGUCGCCUUGAUCAUAGUAGAUAGAGUAAGUCGUAACAUAGUGGGGGAAAGGGAACUUUUUCCUGUAAACU